rnacentral:tRNA from 1 species
GCCGAUGUAGCUCAGUUGGUAGAGCAUUCCCAUGGUAAGGGAAAGGUCACCAGUUCGAUCCUGGUCAUCGGCUCCA